rnacentral:tRNA from 1 species
GUCAGUGUGUCCGAGUUGGUCUAAGGAGUCAGACUCAAGCGAAUAGCUUCUGAGAUUUCUUAUUCUCAGUUCUGAGUGUUCUGAUCCUCUUCUUGAGGGCGUGGGUUCGAAUCCCACCGCUGACA